GAUGAACGCUAGCUACAGGCUUAACACAUGCAAGUCGAGGGGAAACGAUAUUGGAAGCUUGCUUCCGAUAGGCGUCGACCGGCGCACGGGUGAGUAACGCGUAUCCAACCUGCCCAUCACUUGGGGAUAACCUUGCGAAAGUAAGACUAAUACCCAAUGACGUCUCUAGAAGACAUCUGAAGGAGAUUAAAGAUUUAUCGGUGAUGGAUGGGGAUGCGUCUGAUUAGCUUGUUGGCGGGGUAACGGCCCACCAAGGCGACGAUCAGUAGGGGUUCUGAGAGGAAGGUCCCCCACAUCGGAACUGAGACACGGUCCAAAUUCCUACGGGGGGCAGCAGUGAGGAAUAUUGGUCAAUGGACGAGAGUCUGAACCAGCCAAGUAGCGUGCAGGAUGACGGCCCUAUGGGUUGUAAACUGCUUUUAUAAGGGAAUAAAGUGAGAGUCGUGACUCUUUUUGCAUGUACCUUAUGAAUAAGGACCGGCUAAUUCCGUGCCAGCCGCCGCGGUAA
rnacentral:rRNA from 1 species